rnacentral:misc_RNA from 1 species
AAAGAAUGCAAUAUUGAAAAAGACCAUAAAAGUUAAUGGGAUCCUCAUAUCGGAUAACUCCAGACACCUAUUAUCAUCCUCCAUGGAUUUGACUGGAGCUGAUGAUCUGAACUUGCUUAUAUGGAGAUAAGCAUUUUCCGCCAGUAUCCAUGCUAUAAGUGCAAGACUGAGAGCACCAUAGAAGACUGCUUCAUAACCGAUUGAUAGAAGCAGGAAGGGAGGUGCAACGCCAAGGAAAAUGGAAGUCAGCCUGGAUAAGAGACCAGUAGCUGAAAAGAGUGGGAGUAUCAUCGAGAAGCCUGCAAGUGAAAGAGCAAGGGGAACUUGAGUUUCUUCGAGUCUUGUGCAACAAGACUAAGCCAGUAUUUGUUAUCUUUAGCAUGCAAUUCCACAUAUCGAAGAGCUAUGCCAAUUGUGAUAAUCAUCGCCGCCCCAGCAAUCACGAGCAGGGUAUUUUCUGGAAUUUGUGGGGGCAUGAGAGUAAAAACCGACAAAAACCAACAUGCCAGCCAUACAAAGAA